AUAUUGAAAAAUGACAAACAUCACGUGGUUGUAACUCUUUGAAUAAGUAUAAAUAGAAGAAACCUUUUUUAAAAGCCAGGAUUUACAUUCAAUCAUUGUAACGUAUGUCAUCUGCUUAAAAAAAAAGAAAAGAAAUAAAAGAUUUCUUUUACGUGUUUUAAUCAUAAUUUACAAUUGUUACAAACAAAUCAAUCGUCAAAGUAUUAAUCAAUUGUUUCACUUUAUAUUGGAUAUUAUUAUCAACAGAAUUGAAAACGAUCACAAAUUAUUGGCAUAUUAAACAAUGUUAAAUAUCACGUGCUUGUAACUCUUUGAAAGAGUAUAAAUACAAGAAAUUUUCUUCAAUCAAAUUCAAUCAUUGCAACGUGUCUCAUCCGUUUAAAUAAAAAAAAAAGGAAUUUUUCUACGUGUCUGUAUCACAAUCAGCUUUUUGUUAGUAAACAAAUUAAUCGAUCAAAGUAUUGAUCAAAAUUGUUUGAAUUUUAUUUGGAAAUAUUGGAAAUUGUUAUCAACAGCAAGAUGAAAUCCUUAUUGAUCAGUUUUUUGGCAAUUGUAGUCGUGAAUUUAGUACUGACAGAAUUGGUUAUGAGCAAACCAACUGUUGUACCACCUGCAUUACUUCAAACACGUUUAAAUACAAGAACAACUACAAAAAAACCUAUAACAACAACAACAACAACAACUGAAGUUGCUUACACUUAUCCAGCUAGAUACCCAGCUAUCAUAAAUGCAAGUCCUAUAGGAUGUAACGUUGGAGAAAAACGAGAUGAAAGUGGUAUGUGUAGACGUGAGGUAUAAAAAAAAAA